GACGAACGCUGGCGGCGUGCUUAACACAUGCAAGUCGAACGAUGAAGCCCAGCUUGCUGGGUGGAAGAGUGGCGAACGGGUGAGUAACACGUGAGUAACCUGCCCUGAACUCUGGGAUAAGCACUGGAAACGGUGUCUAAUACUGGAUACGACCUAUCACCGCAUGGUGUGUGGGUGGAAAGAUUUAUCGGUUCUGGAUGGACUCGCGGCCUAUCAGCUAGAUGGUGAGGUAAUGGCUCACCAUGGCGACGACGGGUAGCCGGCCUGAGAGGGUGACCGGCCACACUGGGACUGAGACACGGCCCAGACUCCUACGGGAGGCAGCAGUGGGGAAUAUUGCACAAUGGGCGCAAGCCUGAUGCAGCAACGCCGCGUGAGGGAUGACGGCCUUCGGGUUGUAAACCUCUUUUAGUAGGGAGAAGCGAAAGUGACGGUACCUGCAGAAAAAGCACCGGCUAACUACGUG
rnacentral:rRNA from 1 species